rnacentral:rRNA from 1 species
AUGUAUUUUUCUGUUUUUGGAGUACUGAAUUUUGUGUUUUAUGUGCCUGUGCAUGGAUAUGUAGAGUUGCAGCUCAUUUUUUUUUUGAAUGAUUUGAAGAUUGCUCACCAUGCCUGCCGCGCAGUUAGAGCUGCAGCUCAUGUUACUGCACACACCAUGAAAAACUCACAGGAUACCACUCGCAAAAAGAAAAGAAACUCACAGGACACAGCGAGCUCGAGCUUAUUUUCUGUACUUCCUUCUUGCCUGACUUACACAACUCUUGUUUAUGGGCAUAUUAUACUACUCAAAGCAAAUGCUACUGCUUAA